rnacentral:rRNA from 1 species
UGGGGAAUUUUGUACAAUGGGGGAAACCCUGAUCCAGCCAUCCCGCGUCUGCGAUGAAGGCCUUCGGGUUGUAAAGCACUUUUGGCAGGAAAGAAACGUCAUGUGUUAAUACCCCGUGAAACUGACUGUACCUGCAGAAUAAGCACCGGCUAACUACGUGCCAGCAGCCGCGGUAUUACGUAGGGUGCAAGCGUUAAUCGGAAUUACUGGGCGUAAAGCGUGCGCAGGCGGUUCGGAAAGAAAGAUGUGAAAUCCCAGAGCUCAACUUUGGAACUGCAUUGUUAACUAACGGGCUAGAGUGUGUCAGAGGGAGGUGGAAUUCCGCGUGUAGCAGAGAAAUGCGUAGAUAUGCGGAGGAACACCGAUGGCGAAGGCAGACUGCUGGGAUAACACUGACGCUCAUGCACGAAAGCGUGGGGAGCAAACAGG